UCUAUGACGUCGACGCCAUCUCCCGCACGCGACGCCGCCAAUCCUCACUCCGCCCUGCACGAUCCCACCAUGGGGAGGUGCCGGCCCAUGAGCUCAGGCUGCUGCAACCACGACUCGGUGCGUCAGAGUUCCGCAUGGAAGAAAGAAACGUAAGCUGCAGAGCUUGUGAGCUACGGUAUGGUGGUGCAUUUGCGGAAGGAGUGUGGCCAUGGCCGGUGGUUGUUGAUGUAUACAUAUAUUUAUAUUUAUAUUUAUCAGCAUCUGGAAAAGGGGAUGCAUGUGAGGAAGACGGUGGGGAUAAACCUGAAAGCGAGCUCCUGAUCUAAUCUGUCUCGAGAUGAAUAACGGAGAAUUUGGUUUUUUGUUUAUAAAGACGAAGAGUUUUGCAUUGUUGUAUGCUGCUCACAAACACAGCGUGACCGUGGGGAAGAUCACAGUGGUCACGGCAAUGGAGAUGAAAUAAGUGCAGGUCGGAAUCAAGCUUUGUAACAUUGACAAACUCGACAUACACCUCACACUCAGCUGCGGCAUCAGUUACGACAUUAAAUUCCUCCGCCAGUCCUCAGUAGACUCCGUUCGGGCCGUAAUCACACAAGCCGAGAGUCAUGAAGCCGAUGAAAUUGAGGAGCUCGCGGUUAUUCUCAUCAGAAAAAUCCUGUCAAGGUAGUGAACGCAGCAUUGUCGUGGAGACCCAAGGGCCACAUUGUCGUGGAGAUCCACGAUGUUGAGCACGAACUUUGGGCCAAGCAAGUAAGCAGCGAUUUGAUAAAGACCACGUUGGCCAAAGAUGUGAUCACUCUCCUCACAGUCUGAUGCGCUCGCCUGCUGGGCCUAGCAUAAGUCCGGCCAGACUUCUUUAGGGUACGAAAAAGCGGAUUUGUAAAUCACAAGGUUUGCCAGUGUUGGACGAGCUGGUCGAUGUGUGUAUCCGCUCUCCGGAUGCCAUUCCCUGUGGAAUUAAGGUCACCGCAAGAACGGCAAGUUCGUGCUAAAUCCCGUCGACGAUCACAUUCUUGUCGAAUGCGACUAGAUGUUUUCUCAUGCGGCAGAUCACAACUUCUAUGCCCCGUCCACCUUCCUCCCGGAAAUGCCUAUAUGCAGGCUGCGAACGCCAGAGGUCACCCAAGCGAAGGCAGUGAAGAAAUCUUGUCCUGCGGAUGGCAACUCGACAUGAGGUAUGCUUUCGACUCUAUCGCAGAUGUUGUAGCGGGGCUCGAAGCUUUGCGAUUUCAGCGAGGUGCUUGGGAGUAGCAGAAGAGGCGUUGUGGUUGAGGAAACUGAACUAUUACACCGGGAAGGAGGAUUUGAAAGCGUUAUCCCUUGAGACAUUUGACUCUAUUUGCAUCGUCGCAGACGGUGAGAUCUCUUUCGACGAUGAGCAGGGGUCGCUGUCGAAGCUGAUCAUAUCCGAGAGCAUUUAUACUACCCCCAAACCACACAGCUAAGCGAGUGCAAUUCUGAUGCUAUCAGCAGUGAAUUGGAAACCUUUGACGAGUCCAGCCUGUAUCCGCGCAGCUGAUCUUCGGAAGCGAGGUGCUGAAUGCACAGAAGAAAGAAUCGAGUGACCAAACGGAAAACCAUCAUUCCUAAGAGCGGAAGAUUUGCAUUGAGGUUUUGAGAAUGGCCUUGGCGAUGGCGGCUGAGGACACACGCAUUGGGGGCGUUCUUGACGAGCUCUUCGCUUAAGAGGGAAACGAAAUGUUCUGCGGCCUGCUGAAAUAUAUCUUGAUUAUGAGAAGCUCAGCUUCUACGACACCUUUGUGCGCGGGCGGCAGCCCUAGACGGUUUUGAUCGGCGUUCAUUAUAGUGCUGAAGGAUAAUUCGGUGAUGUAUCUCCUCGAUAAGGUGGUUCGAAAGUAAUCGUUUCACGACAGCGUCAUUGUGCUCGUGGAGUGGCAAUGAUCUACGUAGCUCCCUUUGCUGUCGUAAGCCUCAAUCUCAAGAACUCUGGACUUUUCUUGAAUUCUUUGCAAUCCUAUCUGCAAGUCUUUCAAACCUCCAGCAUCGUCUUCUGAGCGCUUAAAUCUUAAACCGUACAGCGUCAGACUCCAUCUUGAAGUUCCAUGACAAUUCUCCUGUGUGGCAUGGAGAAAUUUCAACUCCCCACUGGAAGUCGCAAUUGUUUGUGGAAUAAUUUUAGUAUUUGAAACUACUGAAAAGAAAACCCCUCCAAAGGCUGAGUUUCUGCUCACUAGUUGAAUUCCUGAUUUAUUCACACAUUUGCGAUGGUAAUGGUGCGUUUGUUGUUGGGCAAACAACAUUUAUGUUAUUUAUACGCCCGUAAUAGCCACUACCGCAGCAUUGAUGCAAAUCUCAAUGUUGUGCAUGACUGCAUGCUUCAUGAGGUAGUGGCUACAUCUUGUAUUUUACAGCUGCAGGCAAGGAAAAUUAUAGAAGACGUCGCUAGUGCAAGGAUUCAAUUGUUUUUACUCUGCCGUUUCUGUCGACGUAUUUGCCAACAGCAAGAAUGAGUUGUUGAAGAGAAA